AACGAACGCUGGCGGCAGGCCUAACACAUGCAAGUCGAGCGCGCCUUCGGGUGAGCGGCGGACGGGUUAGUAACGCGUGGGAAUAUGCCCAAAUCUACGGAAUAGCCUUUGGAAACGAAGAGUAAUACCGUAUACGCCCUUCGGGGGAAAGAUUUAUCGGAUUUGGAUUAGCCCGCGUUAGAUUAGGUAGUUGGUGGGGUAAUGGCCUACCAAGCCUACGAUCUAUAGCUGGUUUUAGAGGAUGAUCAGCAACACUGGGACUGAGACACGGCCCAGACUCCUACGGGAGGCAGCAGUGGGGAAUCUUGGACAAUGGGCGCAAGCCUGAUCCAGCCAUGCCGCGUGAGUGACGAAGGCCUUAGGGUCGUAAAGCUCUUUCGCCAGGGAUGAUAAUGACAGUACCUGGUAAAGAAACCCCGGCUAACUCCGUGCCAGCAGCCGCGGUAAUACGGAGGGGGUUAGCGUUGUUCGGAAUUACUGGGCGUAAAGCGCACGUAGGCGGAUUGGAAAGUUAGAGGUGAAAUCCCGGGGCUCAACCCCGGAACUGCCUUUAAAACUCCCAGUCUAGAGUUCGAGAGAGGUGAGUGGAAUUCCGAGUGUAGAGGUGAAAUUCGUAGAUAUUCGGAGGAACACCAGUGGCGAAGGCGGCUCACUGGCUCGAUACUGACGCUGAGGUGCGAAAGUGUGGGGAGCAAACAGGAUUAGAUACCCUGGUAGUCCACACCGUAAACGAUGAAUGCCAGUCGUCGGAUAGCAUGCUAUUCGGUGACACACCUAACGGAUUAAGCAUUCCGCCUGGGGAGUACGGUCGCAAGAUUAAAACUCAAAGGAAUUGACGGGGGGCCCGCAC
rnacentral:rRNA from 1 species